UACGAAGGGGGCGAGCGUUGUUCGGAAUUACUGGGCGUAAAGGGCGCGUAGGCGGCGACUCAAGUUAGAUGUGAAAGUCCUGGGCUUAACCUGGGGACUGCAUUUGAUACUGGGUUGCUUGAAUUCGGGAGAGGAUAGCGGAAUUCCCAGUGUAGAGGUGAAAUUCGUAGAUAUUGGGAAGAACACCGGUGGCGAAGGCGGCUAUCUGGACCGACAUUGACGCUGAGGCGCGAAAGCCAGGGGAGCAAACGGG
rnacentral:rRNA from 1 species